rnacentral:lncRNA from 1 species
AUGACAUCGCGUUCUGAGCCAGAUCCUCCUGUUGUCCGACCUAGACGACAAAUAAGGCCACCUGCACAUCUAGCAGACUAUCAAGUUCAUGGAUCAGGCUUUGUGAAGAGAGUACCAUCAGCUACACAUCUGAAUGAAGUUGAAAUCCAAGCCGCUGCACUCACACCAGAGAAUGCAUCCCGAUCGUCUUCUCCACAGAGUCAGCCUUCAUACGGAGAUGAUCUAGUUCUCAGAGAUGUAUGGCCAGAGCCAUUUGAAGAUGUGUCACCAGAGCAAGGUGAGCGCCACCUUCAAAUCCAGCAGCAGUCUGAUAUAAAGUAUAUGUGGUUUGAGAUGAAGAGGGACAACGACGAGCUUCGCAGCCACAUUCUACCAGAGAUCAUGUCUACACUGCAAGGACUCAAGACGGAGAAUGCUUCAUUGAGAAGGGAAAUUCAGCAGUUUAGCACCAGCUUUGAGACUCCUGGUCGAUCAGCGACACCAAUACCAGCCCCUCGUACUCACCUGCCACCGUCCAUCUGUAGUCGGAGAAGUUCUGCAGUGUAUGCUGAUGAAGUUCCUCCACCCCGACCUGCCCCGUGUGAGCAGCUGACGAGACAUAUGGAAGACCUUACAGUUUCACCUAGGAUGCCUCAUCCUGAAGAGAGUCAUCACACACCGAUUCAGAGGUCAUAUACAUACUCAGCCCAGCCUGCAGGAACAGGACAGUACGACUCUGUGAUGCUUGAUCCCAGACACAGUCAUCUUCAGAGAGAGAGAGGAUUCAGUCUACCCUCACGUCCACAGGUGACACCUAGAAAGGAGCUGCUGCACGUCCAAGAACAGAUAUAUCGAGGACCUAAGCCUACUAUCCCCAGCCUGACAGCAGUAGAUCCCCGACAGUUUUCCAGACUGCGGAUGGCACUAGCAAACCUUCUGCCAGCAGAUGCGAGUGAGCGCUUCAAGUAUCAGAUUCUGACUGAUCAUCUGGAGCUAGAAGAGGCCUUGCUAGUGGCUGACUCCUACUGUAACUCUGUGAGACCAUAUACAGACACAAUGCAAGCUCUUGUGAAGAUGUAUGGGCAGCCACACAGGCUUGUGCUGCGGAGUAUCGCUGAAGUACUGGAAGGUCCCAAUCUCAAGCCAGGUGACGUGAAAGCAUUCAAACUCUUCGCCCUUCGAGUGCGCUCACUAGUGAGUAUGCUGGAACAGUUGGGUUCAGAGGGAGUAGCUGAGUUAGAGUGCGGUUCACAUGUGUCCAGACUCCAAGGCAAGCUUCCACAUGAACUCCAGAUUAGUUUUAAGAGAUACGUCCACCCGUUUAAGAUCACAGUUCCCACACUUCUCGACUUUGCAAACUGGUUAGAGUACGAGCUUCAGGUCCAAGAUGAUACUGCCAAAUCAGUCAUGUAUGCUCCACCCUUACCUAGUAAGAAAAGAGAAGGUCGUCAUGACACCAAGCCUCCAGGCAGAUCUACGAGCAUCCUGCUGGGUACUGAGAAGCCCACUGUUGACAGUGAAUGCAGAGCGCAUAUUCCAGAGUCCAGACCCAGCUUGGCCAGGUAUAGAGAGAAGUCACGUGCCUACUGUCCUUAUUGUGACAAUGCUAGUCACUUCCUUAAUGGAUGCCCCAACUUCAAGGAGCUGACUAAAGAACAGAAACAGACAUGGAUCCGCAAGAACAACAGGUGUUGGCGGUGUGGCCGCAAUCAUCAUGCUUCCAGAUGCACACUGAAGGCUCUGUGCAAGACCUGCAACAGGAAACACCUGUUUAUACUGCAUGACCUGAAUGAGCGAGCUUUGAAUACCAAUGCUGAGACUGAUCCCAAGGAGAACUCGUGUCUUGUGAGUUCCACGAAAGACAUCUUGUAUGCAGACCGUUCGGUCGGCAGCCGCAGAGUCCUCUUGAAAGUUAGUAAAGUAAUCAUCACAAAUGGGGAUGCAUCAUUGGAAACGUAUGCAGUGCUAGAUGAUGGGACAGAAAGGACUAUUCUCCUCCAUGCUGCAGCUCAGCAACUGAACCUCAAGGGGCAACCAGAAGAUCUGAUCCUGCGCACAGUGAGACAAGAUCAGCAGGUGCUGCAUGGAGCGGCUGUCUCCUUCACGGUAUCACCUGUGUCUCGUCCCCACAAGAAAUACCUCAUUCAGCAUGCAUUUACAGCUGAGAGAUUAGGCCUUGCCGAACACACCUAUCCAGUGGCUUCCUUACAGAAGAGAUACAGACAUCUAGCUGGCCUUCCACUGCAGCAGAUGGAGAAAGUGCAGCCUAUGUUACUGAUCGGAUCAGAUUGUCCACAUCUCAUCACGCCUGUUGAACCAGUCCGGUUAGGCCCACCAGGGGGUCCUGGGAGAAAGUAG